CGGCUGAAGGACAUCAAGGCCCAAUGGGAGGAGACAGUCACCUACAUGACUCACUGUCACAGCCGCAUCGAGUGGGUGUGGCUGCACUGGAGCGAGUACCUGCUGGCCCGAGAUGAGUUCUACCGCUGGUUCCAGAAGAUGAUGGUCACGCUGGAGCCCCACAUCGAGCUCCAGCUGGGCCUGAAGGAGAAGCAGUGGCAGCUGAGCCACGCCCAGGUGCUGCUGCACAAUGUGGACAACCAGGCAGUGCUCCUGGACCGGCUGCUGGAGGAGGCAGCCUCCCUGUUCAACAGGAUCGGUGACCCCAGCGUGGACGAAGAUGCCCAGAAGAGAAUGAAGGCUGAGUACGAUGCAGUGAAGACCAAGGCCCAGGACCGGGUAGAUCUGCUGGAGCAGGUGGCCCGGGAGCAUGAGGAGUACCAGGCAGUCGUGGACGAGUUCCAACUGUGGCUGAAGGCAGUGGUGGAGAAGGUGAAUGGCUGCCUGGGACGAAACUGCAAGCUGCCCAUCACGCAGCGCCUCUCCACACUGCAGGACAUUGCCAAAGAUUUUCCCAGGGGCGAGGAGUCUCUGGAGAGGCUGGAGGAGCAGUCUGUGGGUGUCAUUCGGAACACCUCUCCUUUGGGUGCAGAGAAGAUCACCGGAGAACUGGAAGAGAUGAGGAAAGUUCUGGAGAAGCUGCGCGCCCUCUGGGAGGAGGAGGAGGAGCGGCUGCGGGUCCUGCUCCAGUCCAGGGGAGCCUGUGAGCAGCAGAUUAAGCAGCUGGAGGCUGAGCUCAGUGAGUUCAGGAUGGUCCUGCAGAGGCUGGCCCAGGAGGGCCUGCAGCCUGCGGUGAAGGCGGGGACCGAGGACGAGCUGGUGGCACACUGGAGACGCUACUCGGCAACACAGGCGGCGCUGGCCUCGGAGGACCCCCGGGUGGACCGGCUGCAAGCCCAGCUGAAGGAGCUCAUCAUCUUCCCUCACAACCUGAAGCCACUCUCUGAUAGUGUCAUCGCUGCCAUCCAGGAGUAUCAGAGGUAUCUGGGAAGGCCAAGGGUGGUGGGACUCAGGGUGUGCUAGAACCCACAUUUCCCCAUCUCCAGAAGGCGGGCUUGCUUUCUCCUGCAACAUAGUAACUUCUAAAUCAUUCUUUGCACCUCUCAAUGACUGGCUUUUACAGGUUCUCACUUGGCUCAGACCCUGUCCCCUUUGACUGUUUUGCAUUUGCUCCCAGAAAGAGGCCUGAACUUUGCAUUUAUCCAGGCUAGUGGCUCAGCCACCCGUCCUAUCAUGACUCUUUCCGCAGGUUAGCACUGGGGAGGGGUGAUGGCCCAAAGGGAGGGCUUUUCAAUAGACAGACUCCAUUCCCCUGCCUUCGGAUGCUGACUUCAACAUCUGAGCCGUCUCCAGACCAGCCUCCACGUGCCCCUCAGCCCCCGGGCUCAGGCACAGCAGGACCUCCAGCUUCCUAGUUUAGCAAAUGCAGCAGCCCUGUAUCCUCCCUGUGUGGAACCGAGCAAAGUUGAUUUGAAAUCUGUUACCUGUCUUCACUGCAUGAGCCUCCGAGGUGUUCUGAACAUGAUACAACUGUCCACGCAGCUAUCGCGCAUCUCUUACCUCUGCCUGGUACAGGGAGCUCCUUCAGAAUGAACAAAGGGUGCUCCUACCUUUGCUGUGUGUCUCUCAUCCCACAGCAUGCUCAGGCCUACAUCUAUAAAACUGGGGCAGUGGCCUGGAUCCCCCGUGGGAUGCUAAGGUAGGGGUAGGGCUGAGGUUGGGGGGUUGGAUUUCCUGUGCACAAAGUAGGCAGGGAGACAGAGUGGCCAAGGGUCUUCCUCUCCCUCUGGUUUCUCUCAUUGAGGUUUCAGGUAUUGGUUUCCUAUGACUUGGUGCUGGACAUUGUGUUUGAAAAAUUAUUUGUAGAAAUUAAAUGGGCCUAGAAUGAUGGUAUCUUACUCAAGAAAGGGUUUUGUUUGCUUCUGCCAGGUGCCCGGGGGCAGGCAGGACUGGUCUAGGGUCUCCAUAAUUUAUCUUCAAGGCUUGUAUUCCUUGAUCAUGAAGCUGGGCCGUCUGUCUGUUGGACUGGCUUGCUUGCAGUGCACUUUUAUCCUGAGGGCAUGGACCUUUGCAAUCCCAGCUUCACGUGAGGUGCUGUUUUCAGAAUCUGCCCAUUUUUGAUAGACCCUUAUCCUGAGAGGCUGCCAAACCCUAACUCAGUUUUGCAGCUGUUUCUUCCAGAUUGGCAAAUACCCUCAGGCUCAAAGUUGGUUAGACUCACAUUUCUAUUAUUUGUUUUUUAAAACUUUGAUCAAGCAAUUUUUUUGUCUUUUGUUUUUGUACUCAGUGGGAGGGCCAGUCUGAAUUAAUUAUUCUUCCGUUACUGGAAGAAUAAUGUCUCCAUGUGUCAUCUCAUCUAACACUUAGAAUGAUUAUAUGAGAGGGGCACUGUGUUGCCUAUUUCAUAGGUGAGAAAACUGAGGCUUGUUAAUGUUGAGCCACUUAAGGUCAUAUAGCUGGCCUGUCUGGCUCCAAACUCCCAGCUCUUUAUACCUACGAUAGAAUCAGAGAACACUCAUGCCUUUUAUUUAUUUAUGUAUUUAUUUUGGAGACAGGUGUCACUCUGUCACCUAAGUUGGAGUGCAGUGGUGCAAUCACAGCUCACUGCAACCUCGAACACCUGGGCUCAAGCAAUCCUCCUACCUCAGCCUCCCGAGUAGCUAGGACUACAGGCAUGCACUAUGAUGCCUGGCUAAUUUAAAAAAUUUUUUUUUAAGAGAUGGGGUCUUUCUAUGUUGCCCAGGCUAGUCUCGUACUCCUGGCCUCAAGUGAUCCUCCUGCUUUGGCCUCCCAAAGUCCUGGAACUACAGGUGUGAGCCACCGUAUCCUGCCCAUGAAUGUAAAUUAUAUAAGAGCCUAUAGGUCCCAAGGAGCCCCAGUGUCUGUCCUCAGGAAGACCCCAGGCCUGCUGCUGAUGCCUUUUCAUAGUGAUAUUAAUCAAAGUCCCUUCCAACUACAUCUUCUGUCGACUGCUGCAGACAUUCCCAGCAACUGAAAUAGGAGAAGGCCCACCCUGGGAGCAGUGCAUGCUGGGCCUCUUGAGGGUCUUGGCAGAGGCCUCAUCCCUGGACUGAACCCACUCUCUCUCCUCCCUUGUUUUCUCCCUCCACGCUCCUUGCAGCCUGAAGGUGAAGAGCGCCAGGCUGCGCAAUGCCGCGGGGGUGGAGCUGUGGCAGCAUUUCCAGCGGCCUCUGCAGGAUCUGCAGCUGUGGAAGGCCCUGGCCCAGCGGCUCUUGGAGGUCACUGCCAGCCUGCCGGACCUGCCUUCCCUUCACACCUUCCUGCCCCAGAUCGAGGCGGCCCUGAUGGAAAGCUCCCGCCUGAAAGAGCUGCUGACGAUGCUGCAGCUGAAGAAAGACCUCCUGAUUGGCGUCUUUGGCCAGGAGAGAGCCACGGCACUCCUGGAGCAGGUGGCGGGUUCCAUGAGGGACAGAGACCUGCUGCAUAACAGCCUCCUGCAGAGGAAAAGCAAACUGCAGAGCCUGCUCGCUCAGCACAAAGACUUUGGAGUGGCUUUCGAGCCCCUGCAGAGGAAGCUCUUGGACCUCCAAGUCAGGGUCCAAGCCGAGAAGGGGCUUCAGCGGGACCUUCCUGGAAAACAGGCCCAGCUCUCAAGGUUGCAGGGGCUGCAGGAAGAGGGGCUGGACCUGGGGGCACAGAUGGAGGCUGCAAGGCCUCUGGUCCAGGAGAACCCCAACCACCGGCACAAAAUGGACCAGCUUUCCUCUGACUUCCAGGCCCUGCAGAGGUCUCUGGAGGACCUUGUGGACAGGUGUCGGCAGAGUGUGCAGGAGCACUGCACCUUCAGCCACCAGCUGCUAGAGCUGCGGCAGUGGAUCGCCGUGACCACACAAAAGCUGAAGGCACACCGGGGAGAGGCGGGCCUGGGGGAUGCUGAGUCCCAAGAGGCCGAGUUUGAGAGGCUGGUGGCAGAAUUCCCGGAGAAGGAGGCCCAGCUGUCCCUGGUGGAAGUGCAGGGCUGGCUGGUGAUGGAGAAGUCUUCUCCGGAGGGUGCUGCCGUGGUGCAGGCGGAGCUCAGGGAGCUGGCAGAGUCGUGGAAGGCCUUGAGGCUGCUGGAAGACAGUCUGCUGAGCCUCAUCAGAAACUGGCAUCUGCAGAGGAUGGAAGUGGAUUCGGGGAAGAAAAUGGUUUUCACCAACAACAUCCCAAAGUCAGGAUUUCUCAUCAACCCCAUGGAUCCUAUUCCCAGGCAUCGUCGACGUGUGAGUCUGUCUAGCAGGGCUGGGGGAGAAGGGGCCAGGCCCCAGGUCAAGAGGUGGAUAGGGGUCUCCAGCACAGGCCCCUCCCUGUCUGGGGCAACAUGCUCUGCUCUGAGGACUUGGCCACAUCCUGUCUCGUUUGAGCCUGCCCCAGCUGUGGCCAAAGAGCAUUUGAUCCUACUCCACAGAGGACCUCAGAGAUCCCAGAGUCUGCAGAGCCAGGCCACCAGGGCAGGUCAGGGGUAUCCCUUAGCCAGUCAGAUACUUACCUCUGUAAGCCACUAGCAGCAGCUCCUGCAGGGAAGAGAGUGUCGGGGCUGAAAGCAUCCUGCUGGCCCCAGAUUGGAAACCGAAACCAUACAAGACAGCAAUAUUUUUGUACCGUGUUUCAUCCAUCCCUUACUGCUUUUAAACAAACUUGAGCUUUGUGGAAAAGAAAGUUAUUCCUUGUUAUUCAAAUACAUCAAAUUAUUCAUUUUCCCAUUCAUUCUUUCAUUCACUCCUCCAUUUGCUGAGUGCUACUUUGUUCCAAGGACUGUGCUCAGAGCUAGGAUACAGCUGUGAGUAACGCUUCUGACCCUCAGAGAACUUGGAAUCCAGUGUAGAGCUUUUCAGUGGGCACACAGCCUUGUAUUAAAAUGCAGGUUCUGGGCUGAGUAUGGUGAGCUACACCUACAGUCUCAGAACUCUGGGAGGCUGGGAGUCCGAGGCAGGAGGAUUGCUUGAGGUCAGGAGUUUGAGACAAGCCUGGGUAAGAUAGCAAGACCCCAUUUCUAUUAAAAAUAUUUAAAAUUUAACUGGACAUGGUGGUGUGCACCUGUAGUUCCAGCUACUCAGGGGCCUGAGGUGGGAGGAUCACUUAAGCCCAGGAGUUUGAGGCUGCAGGGAGCUGUGAUUGUGCCACUGCACUCCAGCCUGGUGACAAAGCAAGACCCCAUUUCAAUCAAUCAAUCAGUCAACAAAAAGUAAUAAAAUAAGAUAAAAUGCAGACUCUGAGUUAGUAGAUCUGGCUAGGGCCCACAAUUCGAUUCUGCAUUUCUAACAAGCUCUUGGGAUAGGCCCAUGCUGCUGGGCCCGGGAGAUACUCACCUCUGUGAGCCACUAGCAGUAGCACCUGCAGGGAAGAGAGCACUGGGGCUGAACACUUCCUGCUGGCCCCAGAAUGGAAACUAAAAUCAUACAAGAUGGGUCUAUUUUUGUGCCAUGGCUAUAUUUUAUAAAAGAAAAAAAAAGAA
rnacentral:sRNA from 1 species